rnacentral:rRNA from 1 species
UACAGAGGGGGCAAGCGUUGCUCGGAAUUACUGGGCGUAAAGGGCGCGUAGGCGGCCUGUUAAGUCGAACGUGAAAUCCCCGGGCUCAACCCGGGAACUGCGUCCGAUACUGGCAGGCUUGAAUCCGGGAGAGGGAUGUGGAAUUCCAGGUGUAGCGGUGAAAUGCGUAGAUAUCUGGAGGAACACCGGUGGCGAAGGCGACAUCCUGGACCGGUAUUGACGCUGAGGCGCGAAAGCCAGGGGAGCAAACGGG